rnacentral:rRNA from 1 species
UGGGGAAUAUUGCACAAUGGAGGGAACUCUGAUGCAGCGACGCCGCGUGAGUGAUGAAGGAAUUCGUUUCGUAAAACUCUGUUCUAUGGGAAGAAAAGGACUGUACCAUAGGAGAAAGCUCCGGCAAAAUACGUGCCAGCAGCCGCGGUAAUACGUAUGGAGCGAGCGUUGUCCGGAAUUAUUGGGCGUAAAGGGUGCGCAGGCGGCUUUACAAGUUGGAUGUGAAAUAUUGUGGCUCAACCACAAACGUGCAUCCAAAACUGCAAAGCUUGAGUUAAGGAGAGGUAAGUGGAAUUCCUGGUGUAGCGGUGGAAUGCGUAGAUAUCAGGAGGAAUACCGGUGGCGAAGGCGACUUACUGGACUUAAACUGACGCUCAGGCACGAAAGCGUGGGGAGCAAACAGG